rnacentral:rRNA from 1 species
UACGGAGGGGACUAGCGUUGUUCGGAAUUACUGGGCGUAAAGCGCACGUAGGCGGAUUUGUAAGUCAGGGGUGAAAUCCCGGGGCUCAACCUCGGAACUGCCUUUGAUACUGGUAGUCUUGAGUUCGAGAGAGGUGAGUGGAAUUCCGAGUGUAGAGGUGAAAUUCGUAGAUAUUCGGAGGAACACCAGUGGCGAAGGCGGCUCACUGGCUCGAUACUGACGCUGAGGUGCGAAAGCGUGGGGAGCAAACAGG